rnacentral:sRNA from 1 species
GCCGGCCUGCCCUGAGCCCCCUGCCCGGGUCUCCUCUCCUUAAGUGUCCCUGCAAGGCGAGUUCCAGAGGAAGCUUUACAAGGAGCUGGUCAAGAACUACAACCCCUUGGAGAGGCCCGUGGCCAAUGACUCGCAACCGCUCACCGUCUACUUCUCCCUGAGCCUCCUGCAGAUCAUGGACGUGGAUGAGAAGAACCAAGUUUUAACCACCAACAUUUGGCUGCAAAUGUCUUGGACAGAUCACUAUUUACAGUGGAAUGUGUCAGAAUAUCCAGGGGUGAAGACUGUUCGUUUCCCAGAUGGCCAGAUUUGGAAACCAGACAUUCUUCUCUAUAACAGUGCUGAUGAGCGCUUUGACGCCACAUUCCACACUAACGUGUUGGUGAAUUCUUCCGGGCAUUGCCAGUACCUGCCUCCAGGCAUAUUCAAGAGUUCCUGCUACAUCGAUGUACGCUGGUUUCCCUUUGAUGUGCAGCAUUGCAAACUGAAGUUUGGGUCCUGGUCUUACGGAGGCUGGUCCUUGGAUCUGCAGAUGCAGGAGGCAGAUAUCAGUGGCUAUAUCCCCAAUGGAGAAUGGGACCUAGUGGGAAUCCCUGGCAAGAGGAGUGAAAAGUUCUAUGAGUGCUGCAAAGAGCCCUACCCCGAUGUCACCUUCACAGUGACCAUGCGCCGCAGGACGCUCUACUAUGGCCUCAACCUGCUGAUCCCCUGUGUGCUCAUCUCUGCCCUCGCCCUGCUGGUGUUCCUGCUUCCUGCAGAUUCCGGGGAGAAGAUUUCCCUGGGGAUAACAGUCUUACUCUCUCUCACUGUCUUCAUGCUGCUGGUAGCCGAGAUCAUGCCCGCAACAUCCGAUUCGGUACCACUGAUAGCCCAGUACUUCGCCAGCACCAUGAUCAUCGUGGGCCUCUCAGUGGUGG